rfam:Streptomyces violaceusniger Tu 4113, complete genome.
UGGACAGGGGGGUCUCUGCCCAAAAGGCAGGGCCUGUCCAGGAGGUUGCGCGAGAUUGCGUGGCCAGUGGUUGUCGCUCGGGGGUGAUCGCCG